UCCCUUCAACCAAGGGAAUCUAGCCUGCUCACAGCAACGGGGCUAGAAUCUAUUGCUGUAAAGACGGUCCUUUUCCCCACUAGAAUCUAGCUAUCUCACUGUGAGCGAGUUAGAUUCCCUUGGCUGAAAGAACUAGGUCCCUUCAGCCAAGGGUAUCUAGCCACAACCAGCAAAAUACGAAAAGACAAUGAAUAUUAAUACCACUAUCAGUAUGAAUAUUACUUUACUUUCAACAUUAUUGGAUGGUAGGCGGGACUUUUCUAAUACAAAGCCCAAGAUGGAACUAAGGGGGUGCUUGCUACUGUCUGUGCAACUUCUUUUGACAUAUAAACUAUCCUUGCUAUGUGAUGCAUGCUUCUGUUUAGCUGCAACAGCUUUUGCGUCGGAUAUACAGCAACAUUCCAUUCGUACUGAUGACCGAAAAGGCAUUGUAUAAUCAGUAGGGGGGGGGGGGGUAUUCUGAUUUCCCAGUAUGCAUUUGUACAUUCGCCCGGAAGCAAAUCCGCCAAAUUUGGAGACGUACUUCCUUUUAGGCUGAUAGCUCCUUAGAGUAAACUAUGGGACGUGUUAUCAGGGGACAGAGAAAAGGUGCGGGAUCGGUUUUCAGAGCCCAUGUUAAGCACAGAAAAGGUCCGGCCAAACUUCGAGCUAUUGAUUUUGCAGAAAGACAUGGUUA